CUCCUUCUGCCACAAGGUGACUCCUCACCUGAAAGUGCGGUCGGACGCACCGUUCCCGGAGGCUCCUGCGCUGCCAACAUCCCUCCCUCCGCCAGACCGGCCUCAGGUCCAGUACCGGCACAUCCAUCACGAGGCUGGAAAGAGACGUGGUGAGAAGCGGAGAUUAUUUGUUGAUGAGCCAGAGCAUGCGACUCCCGCGAACCGGCCCGUUCAGCCCACUGGGUUUGUCGUCCUCCACCCGGCUGAAGCCUGCUGCGCUCACCCCCAUUCUGCCGAGGCCUCCUGCGCCCACCCACCUCCAGCCGAGGCCACCCGCUGCGUUGACCUAUGGCCCACCCCCUGUGUCGGCAGCACCCAUACUGCUGGUCCUCCCCGCACAGCCACCGUCCUGUUUCGUGGGACAUCCUGCAGCCAGAGCUUUGUCCCUCCUGCACCAACAGUGAAGACAUUCAUGCCUAACAAGUCCUCAAGGCCAUGUGGGGCUUGCCACGUGCCAAACUGUGGUGGACAGUGGAAGAGGUACACCCCUUCCAAGGACAAAGUGGCUGGAAGCAUGCAGAAAAAGUUUUCCUACUGUCCAUCCACUAGGAUGUCCACUACCCCUGGCUUUUACAAUGUGGUGUAUGACAACUUUGAACUCUUUAAGAAUGUCGUGGAUGCAGAGUUGGAAAGGAGGACUGUGUAAAUACCUGGAAGUGUGUGUGUGAAUGUGUGUGUGAAUAACUUACCUCUGUGAUGCCACUGUUCCGGUGCCAUCUGUAAGAGAGAGAAAGAGGCUUGUUUGUGUGUGUUUGUCUUUGUCUUUGUGUGUGUUUUUUAAAGUGCUUCAGCAAGCACUAUCUAUUUAUUUAUUUAUAUCGUUAAAAAAAAAUGCACUUUGCAGUUUUACUUGAAGUUCUUUUGUUUGUUUUUUAUUUAUUAUUAUUUAUAUUGCUGUUAAAAUUAACUUUGUAGUAUCCAUUCUGGUCUAUGUUCAAUAUAUCGAGGCCAAUCUUUUAAACCAUAAUCAGUUCCAAUCUAACACAAUCAGUUUACAUACCCUUUAGUGGUUGUUCAUGUUCAGAUAAUCUGUGUUUUUGUCAUGCAUGUUGUUUAUCUUUGUCAGCUUCAUGUCUUUGAUGUUUGUAUGUAUUUGUCUGCUUCAGUUUUAACAAAAGUUUGCUAAAGAAAACACAAAAGGGAGGAACAGCUUGAGCCUUUAUUUGUUGAUUGGUCACCUGAGUCUUUGGAUAACCAUGUUCAUUAUUGCACUUUAGCCUGUACAAGCCAAUUGUUGAUUUGUAUCUUAAGUACAAGUGUGUGUGUGUGUGUUCUUUAAUUGUUGAGUGUUUUUGAUUAUUAUUAAUGUUAUUUAUAUGUGCCUGUCCUUGUGAUGCGUGUAUGUCUGUCAGCUCCAUGUUUAACUAAAUGUUUGCAAAUGGUAGUAAAUGUUUGUCUCUCGUCUCAUGCUCUCGUGUUCUCGCCUGUAGAUCUGUACCUUGUUGUGGUGGGCGAGCUUUUAACUAAACAGAUCUUGUUUACUUGUGUUUAUAUGGAUUGCCUUUUCAAUGAAACACAUUCUGGUUGAAAAAUAAAAUUUGUAAAAGUAU
ensembl:lncRNA